rnacentral:snoRNA from 1 species
AAGAGAUGAUGAGGACAUUGCGACAAGAGCUCUCGGAAAUGCUCCCAAGCUUCAUGGAAUGCUUCUCCCGGUUUUUGUUGGAAAUUGGAGAUCUUUGCUCUUAAAUCU